rnacentral:rRNA from 1 species
UACGUAGGGGGCAAGCGUUGUCCGGAAUCAUUGGGCGUAAAGAGCGUGUAGGCGGCCAUGUAGGUCCGUUGUGAAAACUCGAGGCUCAACCUCGAGACGCCGAUGGAAACCAUGUGGCUAGAGUCCGGAAGAGGAGAGUGGAAUUCCAGGUGUAGCGGUGAAAUGCGUAGAUAUCUGGAGGAACACCGGUGGCGAAGGCGGCAUCCUGGACCGGCAUUGACGCUGAGGAGCGAAAGCCAGGGGAGCAAACGGG